AAGUAGGGGAUCGUAAGACCUUGCGCUUUUGGAGCGGCCGAUGUCUGAUUAGCUAGUUGGUGGGGUAAUGGCCUACCAAGGCUUCGAUCAGUAGCUGGUCUGAGAGGACGGCCAGCCACACUGGGACUGAGACACGGCCCAGACUCCUACGGGAGGCAGCAGUGGGGAAUUUUGGACAAUGGGCGCAAGCCUGAUCCAGCCAUGCCGCGUGAGUGAAGAAGGCCUUCGGGUUGUAAAGCUCUUUCAGCCGGGAAGAAAAGGUUGCGAUUAAUAAUCGCAAUUCAUGACGGUACCGAAAGAAGAAGCACCGGCUAACUACGUGCCAGCAGCCGCGGUAAUACGUAGGGUGCGAGCGUUAAUCGGAAUUACUGGGCGUAAAGGGUGCGCAGGCGGUUUUGUAAGUCAGAUGUGAAAUCCCCGGGCUUAACCUGGGAACUGCGUUUGAAACUACAAAGCUAGAGU
rnacentral:rRNA from 1 species